GAUGAACGCUGGCGGCGCACAUAAGACAUGCAAGUCGAACGAACUUAAUCGAAAGUUUACUUUUGAAGCGGUUAGUGGCGGACUGGUGAGUAACACGUAAGCAACCUGCCUAUCAGAGGGGAAUAACAGUGAGAAAUCAUUGCUAAUACCGCAUAUGCUCACCGUACCACAUGGUACAGUGAGGAAAGGAGAAAUCCGCUGAUAGAUGGGCUUGCGUCUGAGUAGAUAGUUGGGGGGGUAAAGGACUACCAAGUCGACGAUCAGUAGCCGGACUGAGAGGUUGAACGGCCACAUUGGGACUGAGAUACGGCCCAGACUCCUACGGGAGGAAGCAGUCGGGAAUAUUGCGCAAUGGAGGAAACUCUGACGCAGUGACGCCGCGUGCAGGAAGAAGGUUUUCGGAUUGUAAACUGCUUUAGUUAAGGAAGAUACAAGACAGUACUUAAAGAAUAAGCACCGGCUAACUAUGUGCCAGCAGCCGCCGUAAUAC
rnacentral:rRNA from 1 species